rnacentral:lncRNA from 10 species
GCGAGACUCUGUGGGGGUAGGACCCUCUGAGCCACGUGCCGGAUAUAAUCUCGUGGUGCGCCGUUUUUUUAAGCCGUUCGGAAAAGCACAGUAUUCGGGUGGGAGUGACCCGAUUUUCCAGGUGCGUCUGUCACCCCUUUCUUUCACUCAGAAAGGGAACUCCCUGACCCCUUGCGCUUCCCAAGUGAGGCAAUGCCUCGCCCUGCUUCGGCUCGCGCACGGUGCGCGCACCCACUGACCUUCGCCCACUGUCUGCCACUCCCAAGUGAGAUGAACCCGGUACCUCAGAUGGAAAUGCAGAAAUCACCUGUCUUCUGCGUCGCUCACGCUGGGAGCUGUAGACUGGAGCUGUUCCUAUUCGGCCAUCUUGGCUCCUCUCAGAUGAUAAAAUUCAGGCCAAGAGAAGCAAAGACAGCAAAGACUGACAUAAAAAAGAAACAACAAAAACAACUCUUGUUAAUGAUGUAGAAUUAAUCUGAAUUCUCCAAAAACCUGCCUCUUUUGGAGGGAUCAUUGAAGUAGCAGUGGCAACGAUGUUAUGAAAGUUCCAUGGACGUCAGAGAUCCAGGAUCUUCUUGUUUCCUCACCACCAUCAUCAACUUCUCUGUCUUUUUUGGUUAAAAAGCCACCACAUCUACGACUGCAGUUUUCCCAGCAGAAAACAGGCUGUAUCUACAUCGCUUUCAGCUGUAACCCACUGUUAUAGUAGAUACUCAAUGGCAUGAUAGUAAGGUGUGAGGAAGAAAAAAAGUUCUACAAUGGCUUGCAUUCUUGGAAGGUAAAGGGAUAAGAAGCUGUGAAGGUUACGUAAUGGAGAUGAAAGGCAAGCUACAGGAAGUGAAAUUGGCAAUUCUUCUUGGUCCCUGUUUGGGAAAAUGUGAAUCUCAUCCUCUCAGUUUCUAGUUUGACAGACUAUAAGAAGGGACAUACCUAACAAAGAAUACAUCUUGCAGAUUGCUACAUAAAGAGUAAGUACAUUGACAAAUAUUAUGUACUUAAAAUAUAUACAGCUCUGUACUUAGCAUGCCACAUAGAAUUCCUUAAUAUUCCUCUUAACAGCUGUACAAGUUAACUUGACUUUUAUACGCAUUAUACACAUGAAAAAAAUGAGAUGAGAAAGGCCAAAUAAAAUGAAUGAAUGAAUGAAUGAGUUUUUAAAAUUUAUUUUGACAUGAGAGCCAAUCCUAUCAGCCUUGCUGAUUUCUUCAAAAUACUUGCAAAUAAGUUGCUAUAAUAUAAAAACAUCUUCUUAUUGUUUCUCUCUCCUUAAGGAUUUCUCUGAGACAUUUCUAAUAUUUAAAUCUUUUUUCCCAUAGGUUGUCUUUCACGGUACUUUGUAUACACUACUUUGGGUUCAUAUGCCUCAAGUGAAAAAUUGGUCUAAUAACAUUAAUACCUCUGUCACAACCCCAUUGCACAUGAUCAGUUCUAAUAAUGGGUUUUAAAGUAAUUUUGUUUUAUUUUAAAUUACUAUUCAGAUAUCAGUCACUAUGACAUCAGACUUUUUACUCUCUGUGAUAGUUAUAUAUCAACUUAGCUGGAGUAUAGUAUCAAGUUAUUCAAUAAAACACUAAUCUAGGUGUCACUGUGAAGGGAUUUUGUAGAUAUGAUUAACAUCUACAUUUAGUUGACACUAAGUAAAGGAGAUUUUCCUUGAUAAUGUGGUCAAGCCUCAUCCAAUCAAUUGAAAGGCCUGAGCUUUUCUAGAGGAAGAAGUAAUUUUAUCUCAGGACUCCAGCAUUAGCUACUGCUGGACAAUCCCAGCAUCCCAACCUGCCCAACAGAUUUUAGACUAGACUUACCACCUCAUAUGAGCACAUAGCAGAUUCCCAGAAAUCAAUCUAUCUACCUAUGUAUCUAUCAAUCUAUCAUCUCUCUCCUACUGCUUCUGUUUCUGUAGAUGACACUGACAGAUGUGAAUAUUCACAUAAAAGCUGUCAAUAUGCAUGUUCCUUCCUACUACUUGUACCAAUUAAGCAAAGAGUGUAACGGAUGCAUAUUUUUCUAAAGAAUUUCUGUAUGUGUUCUCCGAUUAUUGGUCAGAAAUAAAAAUAUGUUUAUAAUGCAAAAUUCAUAAAAUGUGUAUAAAUGAUAAUGUAUAUGCCUAUAUAAGUGUGUGUUUUUCUGUGUAUACAUAUAUGUAUAUAUGAGUGUGUGUGUAUGUGUGUGCAUUUUUUUGUAACUGAUACUGUGGCCUUUUAUAUCUACCAAAAUCCAGGACUAGUUUAGAAAAGAAAUUACAGCAGCAUUCUAAAAUUUACUUGUUUGAUAUAAAUAUAUUUUUGUAACUUUUUUUGCCUGACAUUUGUGCUGUAAAUCAAAAGUACUUUUGUGAAAGCAAUUUUUUUAAACAAUCUUCUCUGAAAUUGUGUAGGAGGAAGUGAAUCGCUACCACUCAAUCCUGACAUUAAUUCAACAGACACAUAUUUUGAUUUCUGAAGAAUUAUGGAAACAUUCUUUCAGAAGAGAACAAUGAAAGAUAGCAUUCUGUGUUUAGCACAUUUCCCCUUUCCAAGUGGCAGUGGAGCGUUGUAACAGCAAAGUAAAUUGCUUCUUAUUUCUAUGUGCUUUUUAAAACUGUGACACUGACUGAGCUGAACCACCAAGACCACAUCUGUACACAGCUAAAUAAAAGGUUUUACAUGAUGGCAAAACUGGGCAGAAUUAAUUUGUCCUUGGAUGUACUGAUGAUUGCAAUGCUUACACCACUGCUUUAUACACAGUAGGGUAACACUCAGAGUACUAUCAUGAAAUUCAGUUUUUAAUUUAAAAGAUUUUGAAAAAAGGACUCAUUACACAGGUAUGGCCAAGAUGAAGAGACACAGAAACGUCUGAUUGUAUACUGUAGCAUUAGUGACAGAUUGCCUGAGCAAGAAGUGAGAAAAAUAUUACUGAAGCCUCAGAGAGUUUGAAGCUUUAGAAAUAAAGCUGCCUAGCAAGAAUUGCAACCAUAGAAUAUAGUCAUUGCCCCAGAUUGAAGCAAGGCAAGGACAGGGGUUUGUUAGGAGUGAUGAAUACCUUGAUCUUUCUCUGUUCCAGCCAGCCCUCUAAUUUUCUGUGAUACUACUGGCCAAACCCAAUCAGAGGCUAAAAUUCAAGUGAUAUUGGGUGAUACGUGUGUAGGGCCAAAACUCCUUGAAAACAGAACAGGGAAGGGCUUGGAACAAUGGAGUUUCAAGGAGAGUAGCAAAUUAACAUAGUAGACAUACAAUCUAUAAGUUCGAGUUGAGGGCAGAAAUCAGUCUAGGCUGUUCAAUGGUAUGAAGUCAGGAACAAGGAUCAUACUUCUGAGCCAUAUGGAGGUAAGAUGCUAGAGGGAGAUGGUAAGUAAGCUACUAUUUUUUCCACUUAUGUAAGUAGAAA